UGAGGAAUCUUCGGCAAUGGGCGAAAGCCUGACCGAGCGACGCCGCGUGCGGGAAGACGGCCUUCGGGUUGUAAACCGCUUUUCUGUGGGACGAGAAACAGGACGGUACCACAGGAAGAAGCCUCGGCUAACUACGUGCCAGCAGCCGCGGUAAUACGUAGGAGGCGAGCGUUGUCCGGAGUUACUGGGCGUAAAGGGUGCGCAGGCGGCGGUUCGCGUGGAUAGAUGAAAUCUCCUGGCUUACCUGGGAGGAUGGUAUCCAGACGGGAUCGCUUGAGGGUCGGAGAGGGGCGUGGAAUUCCGGGUGGAGCGGUGAAAUGCGUAGAGAUCCGGAGGAACACCGACGGCGUAGGCAGCGCCCUGGACGACACCUGACGCUGAGGCACGAAAGCUGGGGGAGCGAACAGGAUUAGAUACCCCCGUAGUCC
rnacentral:rRNA from 1 species